CGAGUAAGACAGAUGGUCGCUCCGGCCUUUGGCCGGUGAGGAAAGUCCGGGCUUCACAGGGCAAGAUGCCGGAUAACGUCCGGUUGAGGUGACUCACAGGAAAGUGCAACAGAAAGUAUACCGCCAUACUAGUAUGGUAAGGGUGAAAUGGCGAGGUAAGAGCUCACCGCCUGGCUGGUAACAGACAGGGCAUUGUAAACCCCAUCCGAAGCAAGACCAAGCAGAAGUGUUGACGCGGCCCGCCGAGCUUCAGGUAGGUUGCUAGAGCCCUGCAGUAAUGCAGGGUCCAGAUAGAUGAUCAUCCCGGGGUGCGAAGCACCCUAUGACAUAACCCGGCUUAUAGUCUUACUCGUUUU
rnacentral:RNase_P_RNA from 1 species